AACGUAGGACGCAAGCGUUAUCCGGAAUUACUGGGCGUAAAGGGCGUGCAGGCGGUUCUUUAAGUUAGGCGUAAAAGCUCCGGGCUAAACCUGGAGAGGUCGUCUGAUACUGGGGGACUAGAGUGUGGUAGAGGGGUGUAGAAUUCCGGGUGUAGUGGUGAAAUGCGUAGAUAUCCGGAGGAAUACCAGUGGCGAAGGCGGCACCCUGGGCCAUAACUGACGCUAAGACGCGAAAGCAUGGGUAGCGAAC
rnacentral:rRNA from 1 species